GACGAACGCUGGCGGCGUGCUUAACACAUGCAAGUCGAACGGUAAGGCCCUUCGGGGUACACGAGUGGCGAACGGGUGAGUAACACGUGGGUGAUCUGCCCUGCACUUCGGGAUAAGCCUGGGAAGCUGGGUCUAAUACCGGAUAGGACCACUGCCUGCAUGGGUGGUGGUGGAAAGCUUUUGCGGUGUGGGAUGGGCCCGCGGCCUAUCAGCUUGUUGGUGGGGUAAUGGCCUAGCAAGGCGACGACGGGUAGCCGGCCUGAGAGGGUGACCGGCCACACUGGGACUGAGAUACGGCCCAUACUCCGACGGGAGGCAGCAGUGGGGAAUAUUGCACAAUGGGCGCAAGCCUGAUGCAGCGACGCCGCGUGAGGGAUGACGGCCUUCGGGUUGUAAACCUCUUUCAGCACCGACGAAGCGCAAGUGACGGUAGGUGCAGAAGAAGGACCGGCCAACUACGUGCCAGCCGCCGCAGUAA
rnacentral:rRNA from 1 species